rnacentral:lncRNA from 1 species
UUUUGACUUAUUAGGAUGUUUACCUUUUUUGGCGUUGGGAAUUAGAUGUGAACCAUUUUCCAAAGGAGAUACUGAAGCAAGCAAUUCAUCUUGUUUUUCUAAUCCUCUGUUCGUGUUGACCAGGUCUUCUGCAGUGCUGGAAAAACCAUGAGGCAAAUCCUUUUGCACAGAGUUGAUAACUUCUGAAUCUGGUGAAGUUUCAGAGUCCAGGGGCCGGGUUCCAUUAGCCCUCUCGCCCUCUUCAACCACAAUACUAGAGGAAAGGUGUGUACCCUCAUCUAAAACAUCACCACCUAGCUUCCUACAUAACCCCCCAGCGUCUUGGUUCUUUUUCUCAUCCGUAAUAGAAACAGAUAACAGCCGACAUGAAAGUUUCUCCAAGGGAUUGUUUUUCUCUUUUAACUGCUCUCUAGUUUCCACAAUCUGGAGUUUAUCCUCGACAAUAUCUGCAGGCCCUGGAAACUCUAAACCUUUUCCGGCCUUAACAAUACCACCAGCAGGCAAAGAGUUGCCACUGACCUUAGAGACUGUAAUGUUCAAAGGAUUUUGGCCACCUGACUUACCAAAUUUAACUUUCAAACGAAGGCAAGAGCCACUUGAUGCUUGGGGAUUAUGCUCUCCAUUUUUAGGACUGUUCUGAGGUUGCUUUGUUUCGUGAUGCGGAGGUCUACCAUAAGGAAUAUUAUUGCUCUGUAAGAAGAUUUCAGCGGUCCUACAUGGCAAUCCCCACUGAGAUGAACGGUCUGGUUUUGAAACAGAGCUCCUCUUCUGCUUCGAACAGUUAAAAAUUGAUUCCAAAUUUCUUUCUGAUUGUUUCUUUCUAGAGGAUUUUCUCGGAAGAGGAGCACUCAGAUUGGUCUGCGAAAGAUUACCCUGUUUACCGACUCGGGACCUCCUUCGAGGUGAAGACUCGCUAGUCCCAGAUGCAGAAGCAACUUCACCACCUAUUCUGCCAUUGCCAUCUACUAUCCUGAUCGACUCCACUGCGUUUUCAGGAUUACGAGCUCCAAUGACUCCAUUACCAAACUUCAACGGAAAACUCCUCACCAAAGAAGGGUCGGUAAUAGGGGCGUUGGCUUCUACACCAGAGGUAUUUUCCUCUAUAGGUGAUGUCCGACUGAAACUUUGACCUCUCGGAUCAGCAGCCACAUCAUCAUUCAUACCAGCCACAUCACUUUCACUUGAUGAACUCCCCACAUGGUUCUUUAGCAGUGUUUCAUUCUUGUCAGAAAGAUCAGUAUGCAGCUCAUCCUCAUGUACCAACCUCGAAUCUGGAUCGAUCGUCUCUUUGUCUACGAUGUAAUCAAGAUCACAUGAACGCAGGCCACCAUCACUAUUACUUAACAGUUCCGUGAUAGCCAACGAAGGAGAUACCACGAGAGGGAUAUUGCCAUCAAUAUCACUUGAAGACUUCACAUCAUUCUCUGUCUCACUGCAACCCAAACCCCCAGAAUCCAAUGCUGAAUCUGGAAAGGGACAACUCCGAAUGAGAGAAACAUCAUCACUCGAUGGUUCGUUAUUUCCUUCCUUGCCUUCACCAUCACUUCCAGCUUUAUCAUCCUCUAUAUCUUUUGCAGUUUCCAAAGACUCAACCUUUUCAGGUGCAUCGUUUAGAAAAACCGAUUCACCAUCUGUUUCCCUGACCCCUAAGGGCAAUACUGUGCCAUCUAGACUCCACUCUUCCUACUUCAUGAUCUUUACUAUCAUCACUUCCAGCACUCCUAUUUAUAAAGCUGUGUUUCUCUAACCCCUCGUGAGAUUCAUUUUUUCUCCCGCCUUUGGCAGACUUGGACUUGGAGUUCCCUUUUCUUGUUCCAUUACCUUUUGACUUAUUAGGAUGUUUACCUUUUUUGGCGUUGGGAAUUAGAUGUGAACCAUUUUCCAAAGGAGAUACUGAAGCAAGCAAUUCAUCUUGUUUUUCUAAUCCUCUGUUCGUGUUGACCAGGUCUUCUGCAGUGCUGGAAAAACCAUGAGGCAAAUCCUUUUGCACAGAGUUGAUAACUUCUGAAUCUGGUGAAGUUUCAGAGUCUAGGGGCCGGGUUCCAUUAGCCCUCUCGCCCUCUUCAA